rnacentral:rRNA from 1 species
AUUGAACGCUGGCGGCAGGCGUAACACCUGCAAUUCGAGCGAGCGGCGCACGGGUGCGUAAUGUCUGGGAAACUGCCUGAUUGAGGGGGAUAACUACUGGAAACGGUAGCUAAUACCGCAUACCAUCAGAUGUUCCCAGAUGGGAUGAGCUCGUAGGUGGGGUAAUGGCUCACGUAGGCGACGAUCCCUAGCUGGUCUGAGAGGAUGACCAGCCACACUGGAACUGAGACACGGUCCAGACUCCUACGGGAGGCAGCAGUGGGGAAUAUUGCACAAUGGGCGAAAGCCUGAUGCAGCCAUGCCGCGUGUGUGAAGAAGGCCUGCGGGGUGUAAAGCACUUUCAGCGAGGAGGCGUUAAUCGCAGAAGAAGCACCGGCUAACUCCGUGCCAGCAGCCGCGGUAAUUC